rnacentral:rRNA from 1 species
UACAGAGGUGGCAAGCGUUGUUCGGAAUUACUGGGCGUAAAGGGCGCGUAGGCGGCUUGGUCAGUCCCGUGUGAAAUCCCUCGGCUCAACUGAGGAACUGCACGGGAAACUGCCUGGCUUGAGUUCGGGAGAGGGAUGCGGAAUUCCAGGUGUAGCGGUGAAAUGCGUAGAUAUCUGGAGGAACACCAAUGGCGAAGGCAGCUCGCUGGGACGUUACUGACGCUGAGACGCGAAAGCGUGGGGAGCAAACAGG